AUGUGUCGCUAUUUGAUCUUGAAAAUUGGGAAGUGUGGAAGUUUCUAAUGGUGUUUCUUGUUUACUAUAAAAUGCAUGAAGAAGACCAACGAAAUAGUAGAAACGUUUCUUCUUGGAUCAAUUUAAUAAUUUAUGUUGGGUCAUAGCACAGUUGCAUUUUCUCUUGAUUUCCUUGAAGAGGGUUAAGGCCCAAGCUUCACAACAAAAGGAAAAAAAAAAAAAAAAAAAAAACAAUGGUCAACAGUGUUUGAUUUGUAUUGAGUUAACUUUUAGAAACUAAAUUAAAGUAAUAAAUCUUGUUUAACAACUUAAUUUUUUUUCCUUCAACAAAAAGACCAACUGGUCUGCUUAUGUACAAAAAUUGUUUUAUGAUUUUACUCAUAAGAAAAUCUAAAUGAUUUAAAAAAACACUCGAAUGGAUUAUUUUAGUUAGGGAUUGGUAUAAAAGUGUGAUGUGUAGCCAAUAAACUGAAUUGACUGUUCGGAUGCUAUAAAGAUAUGGAUUUGGCUAAACAAGUAGUUUUAUAAGUAUAAUCUCAUAAGUCAAAUAACACAAAAAAAUAUUUAUACAUUUGGAAAGUGUGAAUACUCAUAAUAAAUUAUGCACGAAAACUUCAUGUUAUUUGAUUGAACUAACAUGUGAAGAUUUCUAUACCACAAGUUAUGGUUCGUAAAUUGUGGCACGUGUAAAAUUCAGCCAAUCAACUAGGAUCCCUGUAUAGAAAACACUACUAUAUAGUAUAUUGUAUAGAAAUUGAUCGUCAAAUGUCAUGGUUAUAGGAUUUUUAAAUACUAUAAAACUCAGAAAACUUAUAUUUACCAAUUAACAUAAGAAAACAUUUAUAUAUAUAAUAUAUGGAACGUGUAAAUACUCAUAAUUAAAUUGCACGAACAUUUAACUGAUGAACUAAAAUGUGAGAUUUCUAUAUGCCAAGUUAUGGUUCAUUAAUGAACUAACACGUGUUAGAAACUCAACCAUUCGAUUAGGAUCUCUAUAUAGAAAACAUUAGUGUGUUGUAUGAAAAUGAUAGUAAAAUGUUACGGUUAUAUGAUGUGUGAAAGGUAAAGAGCUAACAACUGAUAGAGUAAAGGACUUACAUAGAAGAGGACUAACAGUUCCCAAUGAGAAAAAAAGUUUAAGGUUAGGGUUGAAAUACAUGCUCCCGUGUCAUGUUAGAUAUUUAAUAAUUGUUCAUACCUAAAAAAAUUCAAAUAAUAAAGAUAUGAAUGUUUAUAGAACUUAAUUGAUUGUAUAUAUGCUUAUAGAUUUUUGUAAGCCACUAAUGUUAUCAGCACAAAGCAAGGCAUAAGUCGGGCAAAGAAAGUUUCCACGUUCAGGCAAAAUAAGUUUCCACGUUUGGGUAAAGUACGCCCCUGUGUUUGGCCAAAGCAAGUCCCCGUGCCGCUUAUGUGGCAAAACAUAAAACAUUAUAAAGGUUAUGAUUGCUUUAUUAUGAUAAUUGUCCGUUUUAAAUAAAUACAAUUGGCAUGCUAUUUUGAAAGUGGAAACUUUGUGUACGAUUAAAACUAUAGACUUGCCAACGUAAGAUGACCUCAAGAGUGUACGUGACCUCUAGGAGCAAGGGUAAGGAUUUGAAACAUUAGAGGCAUCGAGAGGCUUUUCUAAAGAGAAAAGUUUAAGAGAUUUCCUUUAUAGUUAAAGUUAAACUCACUUGUUUUAAGAGGUAACUUUCUAGUGAAAAUUAGCGACAGAUGUAUAGAGUCUUGUGUGAUAGUAUUAGCUUACUGGAGUUAGGAGAUAACUUUCUAUUGGACUACUGUGAGACCUAAAUAUUUUAAGAACUAAAAAGUGAGAUUUACAUUGUAGCAAGCUGUGCAAGUUGAGGAGGAUAUGUGCCUAUGUGAACAUGUGAAGGACUAGAUUU
rnacentral:lncRNA from 1 species